rnacentral:lncRNA from 1 species
AGACAAUCAUCUCAUCUGUGAACCCUGCACUUUUGAGAUCAGAGGAUGGGGCUGUGGAAAUCUUGGAGCUGGAGGAGAGAUCUCCUCAGGAAAUGUUGUAGAUAUAGUCUCAUAGGAUUGAAAUGUGGCUCCUAUCAGAGCUUAACACAGCCCUACAGCCCCGCAGGUGGAAGACUUGUAAUGUACACUGAGAGAUGAGCACAGUUUUUUGUUUCAUGGAAAGUUAUCAUGUAGGUUUCAAUUAAAAAAUAAUAAG